ACGCCCACGAUGCGAAAUGGGUUCCGUAGCACCGCCGCCGGGCGGAUACCCUGGCCGGGUGCGCCCCAGGUCAAGGUGGGGCCGCAUAGCCGACAGCCGUCGCAACCAGGGAGCAGCCUCAUG
rfam:Kitasatospora griseola strain MF730-N6 RKJC_2, whole genome shotgun sequence.